UUUUAUCUCUCUUCCCUCUAUACUAGUAACUGCUAUAGUUUCUUUUCUAAGACCUCAUAGAUUAUAUAUACUCAAUAUUGUGCAUGAGUGUGCAUGUAGUCUAGUCCAAUACAAUGCUAUAUAUUUGAUUUAGGUAGCUGAUUGUCGAUAUAUCACCUUGAUGAGAUGGAUAUUAAUUCUUGGGUUGCUUUGUCCAUACGUCUAUGUAUUUGUUAGUUCGAAAGUCCGACGUGAGAAGUAGUAGGAUGCAAAAACAUGUGCACUGCUUCUCGUUACACAAAUGCGGGACUGAUACAUGAUUAGUCGCUACCCUGAGUAUAUACACAUACUAUUGAAGGAGAGAAACAGGAGUACACUCACCAACAUUACUAGCGUCUUGUUUCUGCCAUUGUAGUAGAGCAUUUAUUCUCGAUUAAUGAUUUUUGUGAGAGCCGAAAGCCUGAGACUGUAACUUUGCUAUACCCAAUCAUUUUAGGGCUAUUUCCAAAUGAACGCUUUCAAUAAGAAAUUUAACAUCUAUUAGGUAAGAUCCCAAGAUACGGCGAACUAUGAUUUUACAAUAUAUGCUCGGACUUGUUUCUUAAAGGUGAAAACAUAGAUCUGACCGUUAGUGGUUGGAUACUGUGAUGAUGCCGCUUGAGCAUCAUUCCUGGCAUUCGUGUUGAAGAUUAUUUUUUGUUAUCCUUUGGGUAUCAAGAGAUGGUUGAUGCAGACAUCCAUUGAUGUAGUUUUUUUAUCACCAUCUUGAUUGUAGAUCUUUUUUUCUACUCACUUAGACAUAGUAUUGAUUUUGUAUGACUUUGCCUUUUAUUGACGUGUUUAUUACUGUAACAUUAAUGUUGCCCAUCUGCAUCAUAACUAUGCAGACAUCGAGUGUUCAUUGUGUUUGUAUCUCCUUAUUCGGAGUCAUUAAAAUUCAACUUUAGGGCAUCUCCAAGGAGACCGUCAAAGCUCUUGUAUAUGCCCGAGUUGUUGUGUCCGAUGAUGACCCAUUGGUCUGUAAAGUGGUCUGGAUAUCCGUUUUCCGACAUAACCUAAGCAAACAUGGGGUAGCUAUGCUGGAGUCCGGAUAUCCAGUUGACCAGCAAAAAGCACCACGUAGUCCUCUUUUUUUUUUCUGCACAUGCAUGGUCCCCUCUCCUUCCUCCUCCCAACCGGACAAAUAGUGAUUAAUUUGUGAAUAACUUUGAAUGGCUUCCUUGGGUAUCAUGUCCGCAAAUCAUGUUGAACACAAAAAAUGAACAAAUUCCAAAGAUAUUUGCGGGCCACGUGACAACAAGCGUCAGGGUUUUCGGAAAAGUCGUCCG
rnacentral:lncRNA from 1 species